rnacentral:lncRNA from 1 species
AUGGUCUACCUCAUAGCCAAGGAAGUAUCAAUCGCUGCCAACUUCUUUUCACCAUUAGCUCAAAGAAAGCAGAGUAAAGAACACAUAAUGAAAUUCAUCGUAGCUUUCGCCGCCGCUUUGGCUUGCGCUAACAUGGCCGCCGGUCAUUUUCUGCACAAGGAGAAAUUCGGAUGCAAGGAACCGAUCAUAACCACUUGUGCUCAGCCUGCCCCUUGCGUCGUCGAGAAGCCUGUUCCAGUCCCUGUUCUGGUGAAAUCACCACCGAAAAUCAUCGAAAAACCUGUUAAAGUUCCCGUGGCCCACAAGGAAAAAUUCGGAUGCAAGGAGCCGAUCAUAUGUGCUCAGCCUGCCCCUUGCGUCGUCGAGAAGCCUGUUCUAGUCCCUGUGUUGGUGAAAUCACCACCAAAAAUCAUCGAGAAACCUGUCAAAGUCCCUGUGGCCGUACCAGUGCCCGUACCUUGUGAAAAACCCUGCGAAACACCCUGUUGCUCGACCCCAGUUGAGUCUUGUUGCUCAACUCCGGUUGAGUCCAGUUGCUCCUACUCCUACUCAACACCUGUGACUUACAGCUCUUCCUGCUCGUACUCAUCACCGGUGAUUUAUUAUUAAUAUUUCCAACUGAAAAAACCAUUACAUCACAAAGAAAAAUUGAAUCUGAAUAAAAAUAAACGUCUUUCUUCACACUGCAAAUAUCUUUGUUUUUGUUGUUCGGUUGCUCCUACUCCUACUCAACACCCGUAAUUUACAGCUCUCCCUGGUUGUACUCAUUGCUAGUCAACCUACAGCUCUUCGUGUACUUCUACACCGGUCGGGUCAGAGAAAUUUUCAGGUCAUUUUUCAGAAAAAUUGAAACUAAUAAAAAUAAAUGUCUUUACCAAAAGGAAAAUAUGUUGGUGAUCCUUUGACGCCUAUCGUACAUUGCUUACAAAAGGUGAAUAGAUGAAUAUGUCAGAUACUCAUCAUCGUCUGAUUUUAAAUCCUCAUUAAUGGCACGAUGAGAAGUCA